UACGAAGGGGGCUAGCGUUGCUCGGAAUGACUGGGCGUAAAGGGCGCGUAGGCGGAUCGCGCAGUCGGGCGUGAAAUCCUCCAGCUUAACUGGAGAACUGCCCCGGAUACUGGAGGUCUCGAGGGGGGUAGGGGCAUGCGGAACUGUGGGUGGAGCGGUGAAAUGCGUUGAUAUCCACAGGAACUCCGGUGGCGAAGGCGGCGUGCUGGACCCUUUCUGACGCUGAGGCGCGAAAGCCAGGGGAGCAAACGGG
rnacentral:rRNA from 1 species